CUACGGGGCGCAGCAGUGGGGAAUAUUGCACAAUGGAGGAAACUCUGAUGCAGCAACGCCGCGUGGAGGAUGACACUUUUCGGAGCGUAAACUCCUUUUAUAUAGGAAGAAGAUGACGGUACUAUAUGAAUAAGCGCCGGCUAACUCCGUGCCAGCAGCCGCGGUAAUACGGAGGGCGCAAGCGUUACUCGGAAUCACUGGGCGUAAAGAGCGUGUAGGCGGAUUAAAAAGUCAGAAGUGAAAUCCUAUAGCUUAACUAUAGAACUGCUUCUGAAACUCUUAAUCUAGAAUAUGGGAGAGGUAGAUGGAAUUUCUGGUGUAGGGGUAAAAUCCGUAGAGAUCAGAAGGAAUACCGAUUGCGAAGGCGAUCUACUAGAACAUUAUUGACGCUGAGACGCGAAAGCGUGGGGAGCAAACAGGAUUAGAUACCCUCGUAGUC
rnacentral:rRNA from 1 species